UAAAGAAGCCGGAGGAGGAGGGAAAUGGCCCCAUCCAGAGCUCUGGUACGGCCAACCUUUUGCAACUUAAAAGAGUGAAGGGAGACCGGGAAAAGAAAGACGAAGAUCAGAUAUCUUAUUUCAAGCCGCCGUGGAUUUUGGUCUCUAGGAGUUCUGUAAAAUCGAGCCGGUACAAAGAGUAUGCGACUCUUGACUGAGAUCCUGAUAUUAGGACUGUGGCCUUGACCUCCUGGACUGCUUUCACGAGAGGAAGCCAGCUGUCCUGGAGAAUGCCCUGAAAGCCGCAGAGAAGCAGACACCGGCCUGGCAGUCCCUUGAGAAAGAGACUUUUCUCUGUGGUGACACCUUCAGAAAACUACAAUCUCAUGAGUGAUCCCACCAUGCAACUCAACUGAGAUGCUCCUAAACUCCUGACUCACAGGCACUGUGGAAAUGGUACAUGUUGACACUGUGUCAAGACACUAAAUUUGGAGUGUGAUCUUUUUGCAGCUGAUUGAUUUAGGUCAACCCUAUUAACAAGAAAAGAAAAAAAAAAACUGGGACAUAAGAGAUUUAGAGGAAAUAGUGGGAAACAAUGCAGAUUGAGGAAGAUGGCUAAGGCUGAGGUUAGAGGAGUGUGGAAGGAGAGAGAAUGUUGAAAUGCUUCGUACGGUGAAGGUUUGAAUGUGUUUGGCCCAGGAAGGGACACUAUUAUGGCCUUGUUGGAGGAAGUGCAUCACUGUGAGUAAGGGUGGGCUUUGAGACCCUGCUCCUAGCCACGUGGGAAACAGUCUUCUCCUGUUUGCCUUUGGAACAAGAGGUGGAACUCUCAGCAACUCCAGUGCCAUGCCUGCCUGGAUCCUGCCAUGCUUCCCACCACGAUGAUAGUGGAUUAAACCUCUGAACCCGUAAGCCAGCCUUAAUUAAAUGUUGUCCUUUAUAGGAGUUGCCUUGGUCAUGGUGUCUCUUCACAGCCCUCACUAAGAAAAGUAUCAACUUAUGGAAGGCAUAAAGCACCAAGUUAACAAGAUGUGAUUUAUUCUGUAUGCAAGGAUAAGUAUUAGCUGCAUCAUGCAUAAGUUUGGGGGGGAGAGACUAGUACACCAGCUUUGAGUUAGGGUAGAGCAUGCUUAGGAGCAAGAAGAGUAGACUGAAAGGAGGAAAUGUCAGGCUGAGAGAGCAGUUGCACACUCGUGUGAAAUAUCUAGGUAAAAGGUAAUGAGAACUGAGUCAAGGUAGGGCCAAGCAAAUAGCAAGACUGGAUUUAAUUAGUAUGGGGGGUAGGUGAUAUUGUUAAUUAGUAGGAAGAAAACUUUUUAACUGACUGAUAUCUCCUGGCUGGCUGUCUGAGGAAGAUAAUAAUAUUCACCCAAAGUCUAUGACACGGAAGUGAUGCAUACUGUUAUGAAGGAUAAUGAGAUGCAAAUGAGCAAAUCCUUACUGUGUUCUCAUCACCAAGGUAAACUCCAGGAUCCUCCACAUCCACACGAAGCCGGGUUGAGACAGAAGCCCUGGCUACCUUUCCAAACCUUCCACCCCAGAGAAUAAGCAGACACUCCAGUCGUGUCCUCCCCACAAUGUAUUAUUCUUUCUGUCUCAGAUUAUGAGACACUCUCUACCCUGACAUCCCUGUUCCCAACUCAGUGCCCUCUACAAGAUAAAGCUCUCCCAGACUCUGGUAGGAUCCUCUGUGUCGUCUCAAACUUCAACUUGAAUUCGAGUUUUGGCAAAGGCAGUGAAGCCCUCCCCCAAUGAAGGGGAUGAUGUACAGAGCCUGUUCUCCAAAUAGGAGAAAAAGGAAGAAGAAAAUGUACGAUUGAUAUUUCAAGAAGUUGUCUUGUGAGUCACCCAUUGAGUCACACACCUACAAGUAAAUAAAACAACCCUGCCCUCC